UUUGUUGUCUUCUUCUUUUCUCAAAAACUCUUUACAACUUUAGUCUUUACCUUUCUCUCUUCUCUAUUUUCAUACAUAUUUGCAAGUUUUAAGAAAUUGGAAGCUUUAAUCAUUGUAUAUUUCUUCCUCAACUGCCAUUGAAGUGUGAUUUGUGAAAAAGGUACUUCUUAAUUUUUUUUCCUUUAGUUUUAUUUUUUCUAAUCAUGUGUUGAAAGCUUUGAACAUCUUUAUUUUUAUGUUAAAAGCUACUUUAUUUAUUUGAGCAUCUCAACUAUUUGGUAUAAAAAUUCAUAGUUCUCUUUUCCUUUUAGUUUGUUGUCUUCUUCUUUUCUCAAAAACUCUUUAUAACUUUAGUCUUUACCUUUCUCUCUUCUCUAUUUUCAUACAUACUUGCAAGUUUUAAGAAAUUGGAAGCUUUAAUCAUUGUAUAUUUCUUCCUCAACUGCCAUUGAAGUGUGAUUUGUGAAAAAGUUUGGAGUUCAAUGAGUUUGAACAAAUAUCGUGGCUUAUUUUUUUACUUGUCUUAAAAUAUGAAUACCCUUGGCAAAAAUCUUGGCUCCGCCACUGCAAGCAUGGACACUUACGCAAAAAGGAACAAAAAGGCUAAAUAGAGCAAAGAAAGUAAAGCAUGAGCAUCGCCAAGUACACUUGGCAAGUCAACGAAGGUACAUACUCCUCUCUUUAUUCAAGCAUGCGAAGCCAUGAAGGAAGAGGAUAAAAAAGGCGAUGAAAGGAGCAGUCGACGCUUCGCUGAACAACUUUGCGAAACAAUGUUAUACCGCCCAAUGGUUUAGAACAUAAAGAUGUUGAAGGUAGGCACAAAACAACGACGAAAUAGAAGAAGGGAGAAUAUCCGAGUCAUUCAGCGAUCUCGACUAUCUAGCCUUUGUUAUUAUUUUUAAAGAAUCCAAACAUUAUCAUAAUUUACACUUUAAGAUAUUAUUUUUCCUUUUAUUUUCUCUCAAGUUUGGAGAGGGUUUUUAGGAGACUUGAAGAAAGAAGGAUUUCAUCUUCCCUAAGUUGGAAGUGGGUCUUAUCCAUUCUUCUUCCUUUGCUUAAAUCAAGGUUUAAUUUCUUAUACCCAAUGAUUUUAGUAUCAUUGUAGGUGUAUUUUGUUAUUGCUUGAUGUGUGGCUAAAAACCCCAUUCUUGGGGUGUGAUUUAGAAAAUAUUAGUGAUAUUAUUGUUG